UUUCCCUUUUUAUUUUCUUUCUUGCUGUCAUCAAUUAUAGAUUCUGUUGAAAGUUUGUCCAUUUUGCUUCAAUUUUAAUUCUCCUACUCUUUUGCAUAAUUUUUUGCUAAAUUUUUAACAUGCAUGUCAGUAACUCUAUCUGAUCUGCACAUUCAUAUUUGGUGCAUGUAAUUGUAUAGUAUUUUGGGUUACUGAUCGUUGAUUUAUGGUGAAAUUUUAAAUCAUGUAGGCUAAUGAUCGGCUCACUCUUAUUAUAUAGUUAAAUUUAGGGUAAAUUAGAACUACCUUCAACAAUUGCAAAGUCGUACAUUCCUGUGAAUUGGGGAUUUUUUUUUUUUUUAAGAUUAUAUACAUAUACAUAUAUAGAGAUACUUAGAAGGCAUGAAGCAGUAGUUAGAAUUUUAUAUUUUAAAUGUCAGUCCAGUUAGAUGUGAUUGUAUUGUUUUGUCCCAUUUUUACUUUGUUUGUGCACACAUUUGUUAGGAAUAAGAAAUUGAUAGAUUGCAUCCAUUUGUUGGUAAUGGAAGUUUGGUCGAAAAUCGUCAAAUUUCAUAUCAAUUUGAUAGUUUCUUACUAAGAUUAUACGUAUAUGUCGAUAAUUUCUAUUUUGCACUUGUAUGUUUAGAAAUAAACAUCUAGGUGCACAUUUGGAUUCUUCUACGUCAUAUAGUUCUUGCUGGAUUUGAUUGGGUAGAAUGAAAUUUUGAAAGUGAAUUAGAUCUUUUCCUAUGUAGGGUGAAUUUGGUAUAGUAUAAGCAAAAUCCAAAAGUUAAUUAAGAAGACGAGGAACCAAAAUACUUACGUUGGCCACCCUUUGUUUUCCUCGGUAUGUGUUUCUUUUGCGUGGUUGCGAUACAACUUGUGAAGAAUUCUUGUGUUGUUUUGUUUUUAGUUUAUUUUCCUUGUGUCAUCUUUGAUUUAUAGCAUUACUGAGGUAACAACAUGUUGGUUUCAAGGGUGCUAGCAAAAUUGUUGCUUGUUCUCCGUCUGCCGAAGUUGGUUAGUCCUUUUGACAAUUUUACGCUCUCUCCAUCUGUGGUUUUCUUAUUGACGAGUUCGUGUCAGUGUUUUCCAUUCUGUAAUUUCAUUAUUCUUUGUUUUUAUCUCUUUACCGUAUUAAUUCUUAACUGAUCUUGAUCAUUUUAAACUCGAUUUCUUUCAUCUACAUUGCUUGAUUUGGGUAAGUUGUACUGGGUUUUAGUUAUUCUUGUUAGUGUGUUAGUAAUAUUUAUUUUCCAAUGUUAAUCAGUUAGCAUUACAUAUAAAUAGAAUGGAAGAAAUUGUAUGGAAUCAGAGGAGAAUUUAGAGCACCAGUGCAAAUAUUGGCCCUAAUCGAGAAAGAAGAAGUAAGAAAAGCGGGCAACCAAAGAACAUGAAGGGUGGCCUUCUUUCCUUGCUAUCCAUAGGGGAAUCAAGACAAAUGUUAUGCCAUCAGAUUACUACCAUUUUGCCCUUCAGGUGCCAUGAAAAUAAGGUGAUAAAAUUUAUUUUUUGAGCUUACUUUUGUAUCCCUUGUUUAUAUUAAACAAUUGGAUAAAUUUGAAGAAUCGUGGGAAGAAGAAUUGUUGAGCAUUCAAAUUGCUCUUGAUUCACUGGUGCCUCAUCUUCUUGGAUGAUUAAAAGAUGCUACUAUAUGCAUUUAAGUUUAAACCUUAGCAUCUUUAUGCAUUUAUUACUCUUUUAUGAGGUUUGUGUUUAUUAAUCUUUUUUAAGAGAGUUAUUAAAGGUGGACUUCUUUUCCUUAUUGAGAUGUUUCUAUAAAUGACCAUGAAGGAGGAAGGUGCUUAUAGCUAAAAUUUUUGUAAGAAGACUUGAAAAGUCGACAUUCCCUAUACACAGAGUAAUCUAUUCUCUAUUAAGGAGGUAGUUAUACACAAACACUAAUGUCAUCAAUUUAAUUUAUAUGGCUCGUGUAUGUUUUUCGAGGAGCUAAAUUUUUUGAAAGCCUUUAAUAUUCGAUAACUACUGUAACUUCUCCAGCUCUACUUUUGAGACUUCAAGUUCAAUGAAAGUGUACUGGAACUACAUUGUCUUUUAAUUUGUAGCACCAAAAUGAUAGACUUUAUAAGUGAUUCGAUGAUGGUUACUGGACUGUUAAAGGUAAUAUAGUUUUCAUAACUGUUUGGUUGAGUUAUCAUGCUAUAACAGAGAUAUUUCCAAUAAAAAAAAUGACCAAUAUGUUAAUGCAUAGAGAUUAAGAUGAUUCUUAUUGGAUAGGUUAGAGAUUAAAAGAUUAAGUAAACAAAAAUGAGAAGAAAGGGAUAACUGGUUGAUACAAAAUUUGUUUCAUCAACCAAAUCCGGCUGAAGAAAAUUGAGGAUUAAUCCUUUGUGGUAAUAUUUGUAGCUUGAUGGCAAUUCUAAAACUCUGGUAAUGCACAAGCAACAAUGAGCUGCCUCUUAAUGAAUAAGUACCCUAACUCAAAGCUAUUUUCAUAUGAGAAUUUCAAUUUUUUAAAGAUAUUGCAUCUUCUGUGAACAGAAGAAAUUACUACGUCGUACAAAUUCUUCUAUCACCUUGACCCUGAGGGAAUUGCGGAACUACUAAACAUUUUGUAAGGUCUCCGCCAAUAGUUGCUCACUGUCUGGUGAUACUAGAAAUGGUUUCAGUUAAUUACUUUUUUGAGCUUCUGAAGUUAUGAAUGGUAUAUAUUACUUACGAGAUCGUUUCUUUCAGGGGAAAUGUGAUAUAGAUGCAGCUUUUCAAUAGUAAUAUGCCUUAUUUUGUCGAGGUAAUUUGGCUGGCAAAACCUUUCUAUUUUAUGUCUUUUAGGGUUAAUGGGGUCCAAAUGGAAUAACAAGAACUAUUGACGAAAAAAAAAGAAUACUUUAGUUGUCCCAAAGGGAGUAUAUUGCUAUAAAAAGCAUUGGAGGCAUAUACGCCAAAUACUUUCUUGCUGCAUCAGUUAUUUCUCUCUAUGAGAUCUUAUUAAAUGUAUUGUGAAUGGUUCUUAGAGGCCAAAAUAGUUGUCAAACUCAUCAGGAAAAAACAUGGAUAUGGAUAUGUCUUCUGAGAAAUUCUUUAUAGUUGGGAGAAUGUUAAUUUUUUUUUUCCUUGGACCCUCACCUAUUCAAGUAAGUUUCUGAUUUUCGUACAAGGGAAAUAUACAGGAAGUCUGAUUCUCCUAGCCUAAUAGAUUUAAAUAAUUUGGUCAAAUCUUCGUCUCCUCAACUUGUGCAACAGCUCCUGUCUCAACUACAAUAUAUUGAUGUAAGCAAAGAAUUGGAAGGUGGAAAAAGUAAGAGGGUUUGUUAUUCAGUAUUGAUGAAAGCAGUAGCUAAUUUUCAUCAGUUUACUUGUUUAUCUUAAAUAUUUACUCUAUUUUUUUUUUAGCAGAACGGUCAAAGAAUGAAUAACAUCAAAUCUUGGUUGUUUACUUCAUGACGGCUAGAUUACAAUAAGCAACAUCAGCUAUAGUGCUCAAGACGUAAAAGUCCUUCCUGAUGAUGUUCUGUUUCAGCCUUUCAGGUUGAAAGCCAUGGAAAAGGUUUUGUACCUCCGGGUUGUACUUGUCAUUUGUGGCCUGGUGUUGGGUUGUCUGACCUUCACAAAGCACUCUUCAUGAUGGAUAGAAGAAUAUUUGUUGGCUAACGAGUCAACUUCGUUAAUCACUGCAAGCUGAACAACUCGGGAUAAAAUAAUUCCUGUACUGUCAUGGUUUACUGGCAAGGCUGCGGAAGAUGAUGAAUCCGAAGAUAUGGAAGAUGUUAUCAAAAAAGAUGGAGAUGAGGAUUAAGAGAAGUGACGGAAAGGUUGUACCAGCUUGGGGAAAAAAGUGAGGUUGAUUAAAUCUACUGCUAAGUUAUUUCUAUAUGAUAAGAUUGUUAUAUUUUUAAAUAGCAUUCUAGCAAAGCAUGCUUUUGAACUCAAAGCUUAUUUUAGACAUUGUUGCCGGCACAAUUUAUUCCCUGAAGCACAUUAUCCAAAUGUAUAGAUCAUAUUGUAAAUUUUAUAACAAAAAAGGAAAAAAAUAA